rnacentral:rRNA from 1 species
CGCACGCAGGCGGUCUGUCAAGUCGGAUGUGAAAUCCCCGGGCUCAACCUGGGAACUGCAUUCGAAACUGGCAGGCUAGAGUCUUGUAGAGGGGGGUAGAAUUCCAGGUGUAGCGGUGAAAUGCGUAGAGAUCUGGAGGAAUACCGGUGGCGAAGGCGGCCCCCUGGACAAAGACUGACGCUCAGGUGCGAAAGCGUGGGGAGCAAACAGGAUUA